rnacentral:lncRNA from 1 species
GAUAUCGGACACAUUGAAGAUGAUGAGGGGGGUCCGCCUGUAGGGGGUCCCGGUGGAUGUCCGUCCGACGGGUGACGAGGGUGACCCCAGACGAGGCGGCUUAAUUGGGAUGGGAACUGACUGGUGAGGCUUAAUCGUCGACCAAUGGGUCGAAUCUGCAUAAGGAAGGCAACCAGCACACACUCGCAGGCGGGUCGUGGAAACAUUUCUUUGUUUUUUCUCUUGGUCUGCCCCGCGUCGAAUUUUGAAGGCAGAAAAUGUCGGGAGGAGGCGAGCAUAACCAGGCCUAACUCAAACCUGUUAAAAGACAACCCGGGUUCGCAGCGCGAUUUUAAAAAACAAGAUUGAAUAAGUCAGAAAUUCUAUCUACAUGCUGCAUAUGAUCAGUCCCAAAAAAUUUCGGAUUGUUCCAGGCACCGUCGAAUACCUGGAAAACGUGUUUAUUGUCAACUCUACAGGAUCGACCGAAGUCCAUGGAGUUGGGGGCAUUCGAUGUGCCCCAUAACAGUGAGACGCCACUGUUUUUUUCGCCGUAUAAUUAUUAUGGUGGGACUGAAAAUGAACUUAAGCAAGAUGCGAUGGUGAUACAGUAUGGCUUGGAGAACUUCAAAAGUCGGUUCGCGUCGUGGUUCCAAAGCAGUUACUUUAGGUUCCCUACAUUUACAGAAUGUUGCAUUAAGUACUCAUUUUUUA